rnacentral:tRNA from 6 species
GCGCGGUUAGCUCAGUUGGUAGAGCAUCCCCUUGACGUGGGGAGGGUCACAGGUUCGAAUCCUGUAUCGCGCACCU